GUUAUAUGGUCAAGUGAAGAAGCGCAUACGGUGGAUGCCUUGGCAGUCAGAGGCGAUGAAAGACGUGGUAGCCUGCGAUAAGCUUCGGGGAGUCGGCAAACAGACUUUGAUCCGGAGAUCUCUGAAUGGGGGAACCCACCUGGCAUAAGUCAGGUAUCUUGUACUGAAUACAUAGGUGCAAGAGGCGAACCAGGGGAACUGAAACAUCUAAGUACCCUGAGGAAAAGAAAUCAACCGAGAUUCCCUUAGUAGUGGCGAGCGAACGGGG
rnacentral:rRNA from 1 species